GAUGAAGAACGUAGCAAAAUGCGAUACUUGGUGUGAAUUGCAGAAUCCCGUGAACCAUCGAGUUUUUGAACGCAAGUUGCGCCCGAAGCCUUUUGGCCGAGGGCACGUCUGCCUGGGCGUCACGCAUCGCGUCGCCCCCCACAAUUCUCCGUAAAGGGAACAUGUGUUUUGGGGGCGGAUAUUGGUCUCCCGUGCUCAUGGCGUGGUUGGCCGAAAUAGGAGUCCUUUCGAUGGACGCACGAACUAGUGGUGGUCGUAAAAACCCUCGUCUUUUGUUUCGUGCCGUUAGUCGCGAGGGAAACUCUUAGAAAACCCCAGCGUGUCGUCUUUUGACGGCGCUUCGACCGCGACCCCAGGUCAGGCGGGACUACCCGCUGAGUUUAAGCAUAUCAAUAAGCGGAGGA
rnacentral:misc_RNA from 1 species